UUGAGAGAGAGGAUGAUAAAGGAGGAUGGGAGAGAUGAGUAACAAAAGUGAAAAUAAAACUUGAAAGUGAAAACAAUUUCAAAUAAUUUUUUUGUUUUUUGUUUUUGUUUUCACUUUUGUUACUCCUCCCUCCCAUCAUUCCCUCUAAUCUUCCAUCUCAAU
rnacentral:miRNA from 1 species